UUCCAUGAUUCUACUAGACAU
rnacentral:piRNA from 1 species